GCGUCCAGUGCCGCCGGCCUACACAUGCAGUCGAGCGGUAGCACAGAGAGCUUGCUCUCGGGUGACGAGCGGCGGACGGGUGAGUAAUGUCUGGGAAACUGCCUGAUGGAGGGGGAUAACUACUGGAAACGGUAGCUAAUACCGCAUAAUGUCGCAAGACCAAAGUGGGGGACCUUCGGGCCUCAUGCCAUCAGAUGUGCCCAGAUGGGAUUAGCUAGUAGGUGGGGUAACGGCUCACCUAGGCGACGAUCCCUAGCUGGUCUGAGAGGAUGACCAGCCACACUGGAACUGAGACACGGUCCAGACUCCUACGGGAGGCAGCAGUGGGGAAUAUUGCACAAUGGGCGCAAGCCUGAUGCAGCCAUGCCGCGUGUGUGAAGAAGGCCUUCGGGUUGUAAAGCACUUUCAGCGGGGAGGAAGGCGUUAAGGUUAAUAACCUCGUCGAUUGACGUUACCCGCAGAAGAAGCACCGGCUAACUCCGUGCCAGCAGCCGCGGUAAUACGGAGGGUGCAAGCGUUAAUCGGAAUUACUGGGCGUAAAGCGCACGCAGGCGGUCUGUCAAGUCGGAUGUGAAAUCCCCGGGCUCAACCUGGGAACUGCAUUCGAAACUGGCAGGCUAGAGUCUUGUAGAGGGGGGUAGAAUUCCAGGUGUAGCGGUGAAAUGCGUAGAGAUCUGGAGGAAUACCGGUGGCGAAGGCGGCCCCCUGGACAAAGACUGACGCUCAGGUGCGAAAGCGUGGGGAGCAAACAGGAUUAGAUACCCUGGUAGUCCACGCCGUAAACGAUGUCGAUUUGGAGGUUGUGCCCUUGAGGCGUGGCUUCCGGGAGCUAACGCGUUAAAUCGACCGCCUGGGGAGUACGGGCCGCAAGGUUAAAACUCAAAUGAAUUGACGGGGGCCCGCACAAGCGGUGGAGCAUGUGGUUUAAUUCGAUGCAACCGCGAAGAACCC
rnacentral:rRNA from 1 species